rnacentral:tRNA from 1 species
GGCUGUAGCUCAGUGGUAGAGUGCCUGCCUUGCAUGUGUGAGGCACUGGAUUCGAUCCUCAGCACCA